CAGUUACAGAAAUUAAAGAUCUGCUGGCAUUGUCUGGGUCUUUUUCAUUCCUCAGAGUGUUACAAGUGGAAGGUUUAACAUUAGUGGUUGGUAAUAUGCUCUACUGCAUAUAUAUUCUAAUAUCAGAUAUAUGAGGACUGGCUCCUUAUGGGUGCACACCCUAUAGCUCGCUGGGAAGUCCUGUGCUUUGCCUUGUGCUGCUACCUCAGGGUAGCAUGGGCUGCAACAGUAAGUACAGAGGCAAUUGUUACAGCUUUAUGAUUUUGUAAGGAGGGCUGUGUAUUACUCUGCCUGGGGAGAACCAGCCAAGGUAAAGUGUAGGUGCUGGCAACGUGCAAGGCCAGGGGCACAAGUGGUUGUGCAACAGAUUUACCUUUCUCAAUACAAUGCAAGCAGGGAACUAGGAAAAAAGGAGAGAUGCUGUGGGCACUCUACUUCUAGGUAAGAAUACCUACCUGUGCUCAGGUGUGAGCAGGCACCAAGAAUAAAAUGCCAGGAAACAUACCUGAAGCCCAGCUUUCUAUCAACAACAGGCCAGAGUUUACCUAUUUUCCAGUUGUUUCUGAAAUUCCUCUGUCUGGGAAGACUGCAGUUACAUGGAUGCUUAAUUCUGCCUUAGUAGGUAAUGACAAAAUUCUGCCUAUACAAUACAAUCCUUUAGUUUUCAAAAACUCAGCUUUAAAGUAAUCUAUGUAACAAAAGAUAAAGAAAUUCUGUGCCUCAGGGCUGUAUCUAUAAUACCCACACUCAGAGCCGUUACACCACCCAACCAAUCUCCACUGCAGUCUGUGCAAUUAUAACAUAGAAAAUAAAUAUGCUGGCCAUGCUAGGAAAGGAACCCUUGAACUCCAAAGGAACAAUGCCUCAAAGUGAAACAGACCACUAUCCAUAACAUAAGGACCAACCCUUGCAGUUGCUCUUAAAACCAUUGCUAAUAUGAAAAGGAGUAAAACCGGUACAGUAGAGGUCCCAUUUAUACUAUUGGAAAAUGUACCAGGCCCAACAACUCAGACUCAAAUGAACAGGGUUAGUUGAAAGCAGGAACUAGGUCUGCAAAUAAAAAAGCCUUGUUUCUUCAUUCAAGCCCAAAACAAAGCUCAACUCACGUACCGCACGGUACAACCCCAGGCUCAGCCACCACCUCAUCCACGGUCAGAUCUGUUUCCCCUUUCUCCAGGAACGGGACAGCAUUUUGGGAAGGAAGAUAGGACACCCCCUGCCUUGGGGCAGGGACGUUUGAGCAUCGAUAUUUUAUUGCAAAGACUAAUUACAUUGCUGUGUACAAGUCACACUGGGCAGUGUGCUCCUUCAUUGAAGUGGUACAAAAUACAUAUGGUACAGCCAGUCCCUCCGGUGAUGCUGAGCUGCCGAGGGAAAAAGGCAGGAGGGGAAGGAAGGGGACGGUGACAGCGGGGUGGGCAGGAGCUGGCAGGCACAGAGCGGCACGGGGCCGAGGGGAGGCCCUGGGGUGCUGGUACCAGGCUCCAGGCAGGGAGGGGGGGGAAACAGGAGGCAGGCUCUGCGUCAGGGUGCCAGCGGCUCCCAUCAUGUGCAGCGUGGGCACGGUGGGCCAGGCCGUGCCACCCUAAGGGGACACGGGGCUGGCAGAGCUGGUGCCAGCCCCGCUGGUCAAGAAGCAAGCAGCCUCUCCCCGCCCGGUGCCAUGGGUCCCUACAGGUCCCACCACCACCUCCUGCCACCAGCCCUGGUCCCCCAAGCAUGAGAGCGCAGCGUUGCUGCAGCCCAGGCCCCUCUCCUGGAGCCGGGGAACGCGUGGCCCCUGCCCGGCAGCACGGACAGACAGGGAGGAGAGGGUGGGGUGGGAGGAAGUGCUUAAAUGAGAUGGCCCAGCAGGUCCAGGAGCAAAGAAAACAUAAAAAAAAUAAUAAAAAAAAAAGUUUUAAAAAGAAAAAAAUCCCCCCUUUGGUUAGUGUUUCCUACAGUCAAUAAAAGAAGCAUCUCUGCCCCUGCUCGAUCAACUAGUGGGAAAGAAACAAGGGAGAGAGGGAGGCCAGAGCGGUCUGUGCCUCAGAGCGUGACAGCGCAAGGCUGCUGCUUCCAGCAGCCCAAAACAGCAGGGGGGAGAGGAGAGGGACUGGGCUGCAGGGCAGGGGGAGGCUGGGUUAGUAAAAUGUACAAGUUCAUCUUUUCUAUUUACAACCAAUAAAUAUUGAAAAAAAAAAAAAAAAGUAAACAUUUUCGUUUUAUACAAAAGAAGUCUCAUUGCUGCUUCUCCCAUGGUCAGUGUUUGAAAAAGUCUGGUUAAAGCCCAAGGUGAGUGGCACUUUCUGGGGGGCAGGUGGCGGCACCGGGGUACUCAGAGCACCCCGAGCUCUGUCUCGCCUCCUCGCCCACCUGCGCAGACCCAGGGUCUCUAUUUACACAGAUUUGGACAGAAAUUCACUCUCCUCUUCCUCGCUAGGCUGGCAGCUCUGGGGGCACGGGGAGGCGCUCAAAGCUUCCCCCGCCUGCAGAAGAGACACUGGCGUUUGAUCUUUGGUGCAGGUUUGAACGCGGGCUGGCGAAGUCCAGCUGCAUCGGGGAGAGGAGCGAGACCACGCGAAGGCUUCCAGUCAUCGAGAGCACGAGGCGCCCGCUCCAUCGCGGCACGCACGCAGCCCUUCCCGGGGCUCCCAGCACCGGCACGGGGCUGAAUCCUUUCCAGCGUGCCUCCUCGUCCACGGCUUCUCCCAGGAUAAGGACGUGGAGGUAAAACCAACGCUGGGAAGCUCCCGGAGCAGCUUCCUUGCAAACGGCCCCUCUGCAGGCCUCCGCUCCCCGGCUCGCGCGGACACAAGGCACCUACGGCAGAGAGGCGGGCUCCUGCUCUGGGCAGGCCGGUGGCUGGACGAGUGGCGCACCGUGGAAGGUUUGAAAAAUAAAAAUAAUAAAACAGA